GAUGAACGCUGGCGGCGUGCCUAAUACAUGCAAGUCGAGCGAAUGGAUUAAGAGCUUGCUCUUAUGAAGUUAGCGGCGGACGGGUGAGUAACACGUGGGUAACCUGCCCAUAAGACUGGGAUAACUCCGGGAAACCGGGGCUAAUACCGGAUAACAUUUUGAACCGCAUGGUUCGAAAUUGAAAGGCGGCUCCGGCUGUCACUUAUGGAUGGAUCCGCGUCGCAUUAGCUGGUUGGUGAGGUAACGGCUCACCAAGGCAACGAUGCGUAGCCGACCUGAGAGGGUGAUCGGCCACACUGGGACUGAGACACGGCCCAGACUCCUACGGGAGGCAGCAGUAGGGAAUCUUCCGCAAUGGACGAAAGUCUGACGGAGCAACGCCGCGUGAGUGAUGAAGGCUUUCGCGUCGUAAAACUCUGUUGUUAGGGAAGAACAAGUGCUAGUUGAAUAAGCUGGCACCUUGACGGUACCUAACCAGAAAGCCACGGCUAACUACGUGCCAGCAGCCGCCGUAA
rnacentral:rRNA from 1 species